ACGCCUUAUACAUGCAAGUCGAACGCAGUAGCAAUACUGAGUGGCAGACGGGUGAGUAUAAUGUGGGAAUCUGCCUUUUGGUUUGGAAUAACUCGGGGAAACUUGAGCUAAUACCGGAUAAGCCCUUACGGGGAAAGCUUUAUGCGCCGAAAGAUGAGCCCGCACUUGAUUAGCUUGUUGGUGAGGUAAUGGCUCACCAAGGCAACAAUCAAUAGCUGUUCUUAGAGGAAGACCAGCCACAUUGGGACUGAGACACGGCCCAGACUCCUACGGGAGGCAGCAGUAAGGAAUCUUGCACAAUGGGGGAAACCCUGAUGCAGCGAUGCCGCGUGAGUGAAGAAGGCCUUUGGGUUGUAAAACUCUUUCGUUGGGGAAGAAAAUGACUGUACCCAAAUAAGAAGGUCCGGCUAACUUCGUGCCAGCAGCCGCGGUAAUACGAAGGGACCUAGCGUAGUUCGGAAUUACUGGGCUUAAAGAGCUCGUAGGUGGUUAAAAAAGUUGAUGGUGAAAUCCCAAGGCUCAACCUUGGAACUGCCAUCAAAACUGUUUAGCUAGAGUGUGAUAGAGGAAAGUGGAAUUUCUAGUGUAGAGGUGAAAUUCGUAGAUAUUAGAAAGAACACCAAAAGCGAAGGCAACUUUCUGGAUCACUACUGACACUGAGGAGCGAAAGCAUGGGUAGCGAAGAGGAUUAGAUACCCUCGUAGUCCAUGCUGUAAACGAUGUGUGCUAGACGUUGGAAAUUUAUUUUUCAGUGUCGCAGCAAAAGCGUUAAGCACACCGCCUGGGGAGUACGACC
rnacentral:rRNA from 1 species